GACGAACGCUGGCGGCGUGCUUAACACAUGCAAGUCGAACGGAGAGGCCCGGCUUUGGUGUGGUGGUCGAGUUGCGAACGGGUGAGUAACACGUGAGUAACCUGCCCGUUACUGUGGGAUAACUUCAGGAAACUGUGGCUAAUACCGGAUAAGAGCUCCUGCUGCAUGGUGGGGGUUGGAAAGUUUCGGCGGUUGGGGAUGGACUCGCGGCUUAUCAGCUUGUUGGUGUGGUAGUGGCUUACCAAGGCUUUGACGGGUAGCCGGCCUGAGAGGGUGACCGGCCCCAUUGGGACUGAGAUACGGCCCAGAGUCCUACGGGAGGCAGCAGUGGGGAAUAUUGCACAAUGGGCGGAAGCCUGAUGCAGCGACGCCGCGUGGGGGAUGACGGCCUUCGGGUUGUAAACCGCUUUCGCCUGGGAAGAAGAGUGAGUGACGGUAACGGGUCAAGAAGCAACGGCUAACUACGUG
rnacentral:rRNA from 1 species